UUUUUUUUUUUUUUUUUUUUUUUUUUUUUGCCCAGUAAAGUUAAUUUUGUGAUCACAUGGGAUUCCUAAGAAUCUAAGUUCAAAUAUAUUUCUUUGGCAAAGUACAGUGUCACCUGUGUCUGUAUUAAUUAUGGUUUUCACAUUACUUAUGAGUCACGCUAACUUGGAAAAUAAUGUAAUUAGGUCUCAGUGUUAAAAACUUCAGAAGACUUGUUUUAUGUGCUGAAAUGCGUUCAUAUAUAGUUAAUUUUUGUUCAUUUUGGAUCACUAACAAAAAUACUUGAAAUAGCUAUUUGUUUUAAAGAGAUCUUUAUGGUUACCAGGAUGGUUGCCUGAAUAAAAGCCUACAUACCUGUUCUGCAGGGGGUUUUUAUUUGUACUUUAUAAUUGAACUAUCUUCUCUAGAGCUUUUACUGUGUUGCUAUUGGGGAGUAAUACAGUAGCAAUUUAACAGCUUUAUUGUAAAUGUAAGUUAGAUCAAGAAGAUAAUGUAAUAAUAAUCCCAGAAAGAAAGUUUUCAGUACCACCACACACAGGCUAGGGUUUCUCUUCGCCUUUAAUUUCCAUUUUAGUUGAGUCAGUCUGUCUUCUAAAGCUAGGUUUGGUACUUCCAAGCUCUCUUGAUAGUCUAUAUUUAGAGCUAUAUUAUUUUGUUUUUAAAACAUAUUGUGAGUAUAAAAUAAUAAAUCAUGAAUUAGCUGUCUUAAAGGAAACUUGGAAAACAAAGUACAGUGUAAGACUCCGGACAGAACAAUCAGAGAAGGACAAACAUUAUAUGGUCUCAUUCAUUUGGGGAAUAUAAAAAAUAGUGAAAGGGAAUAAAGGGGAAAGGAGAAAAAAUGAGUGGGAAAUAUCAGAAAGGGAGACCAGAACAUGAGAGGCUCCUAACUCUGGGAAAUGAAUUAGGGGUGGUGGAAGAGGAGGUGGGCGGGGGGUGGGGGUGACUGGGUGACGGGCACUGAGGGGGGCACUUGAUGGGAUGAGCACUAGGUGUUAUUCUAUAUGUUGGCAAAUUGAUCACCAAUAAAAAAUAAAUUUAUAAAUUUAUAUAAAAAAAAAAAGACUCCAGACAGAAGAAAUGUCUAAAGGAUUAAAAAAAAAAACCUGAAAGGUGAGGUGGUAUUCAGGUGCAGCCUAUGCUAUUAACAAAUAAGAAUCCAAAUUAAAACUUUGUGAUUGCAGCUAUUUUCAUGUUUUCUGCUUCGCUUUAAAGCAGAGCUCUCAGUAGAGUUAACGUAUAUUCUCCAUCUUGACCUGUUACUCUUCCCUCAACCUGAUCCUUGUCCGUCUACUGAAAUGACUCUUUUCAAGGUCACCAAGGACCUCUCUUAUGAAACUCAGUCAUUUUCUCUGCCUUUACCUUGCUUAUCUUCUCAGCAGUGUUGGACACAACUGACCACAUUUGCCUUCCUGAAACACUUGAUUCUGAGCUUCAGUAUGUGGCAUCAUAUUCAGAUUUUUCUUCUCACUGACCCGUUCCUCUCUUCCCUUUCCUGGCUUCUGUUCUAAAUGUGGGUCAGCUCUCAGGGCUCAGGAAUAUUCUGUCUUCAUUCUCUCUAGGUCAGGGCCAUUUAGUCCCAAGGCCUAAGUUCCAUAUUUGUGCUGAUGACUCAUACGUUCUUCUUUCCUGUCAUUGUUCCUGAGCACCAGACUGAGAUAUCAGCAGCCCUUUUAAUACAAUCAUCUGCCUAGUUUGGGUCACAGACUAGAAGUCACCUUGAUGGCUCUCUUCCCUCAACCCCUACAUGGAGCAGUGCCCAUUAGCUGUCUCUAACAGAGAUCCUGAACGUUACUGUUUUGCUAUGUCUUGCUACACCAUUGCCCAAUCCACUAACAUCUCUUAACCUUCCUACUGUCCCUUUCCCCAUACAGCCAGCAUUCCCUUAUUUUUUAGAUUUGAGAGACCAUGAGCUCUCAGAGGGAGGGGCAGAAGGAGAAGCAGACUGCCCAUUGAACAGGACGCCCACACACACAACAUGGGGCUCCAUCCCAGGACCCUGAGAUCAUGACCUAAGCCGAAGGCAGACGCUUAACUGACUGCACCACCCAGGUGCCCCGCCAGCAUUCUUUCUGAAACAGUGAUUACAUCAAACCACUACCUUGUUUAAAACUUUCCAGUGGCUCCUCAUUGCACUAACAAUAAAAUCCAGACACCUUAACAUGGUCUGUGAGACCCUACAGGUGCUGGCACCUGUCCCUUCUGCCACUCCAGACACACUAGAAUUCUCUCUCCUUCCCCAACCUAAGCUUUUUCCCACUUGAAGCUUUUGCACUAGGUGUUCUUUCUUCCAGGAAUGUUCUGUCCACCUUUAAAUGUUGUUUCCUGCUUAUUUUAUCAGAUCUGAGCUCAAAUGUCUGUCUCUGACUCAUCUCCAUCAUUAUGUCAUUUCCAUGGUUCAUUUUCUUCCUAGUGCUUAUUGUGGUCUGUAUUAUAUUUGUCUACACAUCCAUCGUGAAUGCAAAUGUGAUUUCUCUAUUGAAAUUUAAGUUCAUUAGAGCAGCAAUUUGGUCUUCAACACUGCAUCCCCAGAACCUAGAAAAGUAGGUGGCAUACAAUAUAGUUCAAUAAAUAUUUGUUAUAUUAUUGUAUGAUGAUGCCAGAUGGAUUUUACGAGAGCAAUUGUACCUGAUAAUCAACUUCACCAGAAAGAACCCUCUGCCACCCUAAUAGUAGCUUAACUUUAAAUUUUCCUCUGUCCACUGAGCCCCAAUUUACACACCAAAUGCUACUGCUUACCUCAUAGGGCAGAUAGUUAAUUGGGGAUUAAAUGAAGUGCCCGACAACACAGUGAAACACUUGAAACAGGUAUCUAGUUUUCCCUUCUACUUUUUCAUAUUCAAUAUAUGUUGUUGACAUUUCAAAGGUCCCAAGGUUUUUUUUGGACCUACAAAUGUUUAUAUAGGCUCUUCAUUCUGUCUUCAUUCUCUCUAGGUCAGGCCAUUUAGUCCCAAGGCCUAAGUUCUAGAUAGAAGAAUGUUUUUCUCCAGACUCACAGGUGACUUGCAUGGUUCUCUGAAUUACUUGCCUUUUCAUUUCUCAGUAGCUCGCUUUUUCUCGAUUGUCAUUUUCCACAAAUAAAUACGGUUUUCUAUCAUUUCAUUGAAGUCGCUGUAAUAUGAACUUUAAGUGGGAAGACAGCUAUGAUGAUGAUCCAAGUGGUCAAGAAAGCUUCCUCAUAAGCUGAGAUCCUUCCUUCGCAUGCGGGCUGGUGCGCACCUUAGCAGAGGGCCGCUCACGACCUGUCAUCUGGGGUUGGGGGCUGCUGUUAGAGGACAGAGCACGACUUGGCUGCUGCGCUGCCUACCAGGGGGUGUUUGGUGGAAGUUCAAGUUCUGAGAUAAGCAGACAACUUUGAGACUUUUGCUAGUGAGCUACGAAAAUUACAUCCACAUGUGUCAUCACAGCCCUACCUAAACCUGGCUUUCAAUUACACAGCACUUUUUCCAGAAGGGGAAGGCAGCCCUCAUGAUCCUCUACUUUUUUCCACUUUUCUUGCACACUCGCCCAGGCCUCAACACCUGGCAUACCUUGCCAGGAUACUUGCCACACUCUGUCCUUGUGUUUUCAGUCGAAUAAACAAAAGACACCUGAAGGUAGCUUCUGUAGCUUCAAAUCCAAAUAAAGCAGUGAGGUUUUUAUCAAACAGGUUGAGCUACAGAGUAUUUUCAGAGAUCUCUAAAGUUUCAAAAUCAGUAAGCUUGAAUACAUUUUACUUAAAAACUUCUUAAUAUUAUUUACUCUCUUUAAAGGAAUUAUGAAAGUGUAAACACCAUUUAUUUCCAAGUAGCCCCUUUAGUCCUCUUGGGUAACAGGACAUUUAACCUUUUCUAAAAUUUCUACUCUUGAGUCAAAUAGCUACACCAAUAAAAAAUAAAUUUAAAAAAAUAAUAAUAAAAAAAAAAAAAAAAAAAAAAA
rnacentral:lncRNA from 1 species